UACGUAGGGACCGAGCGUUGUCCGGAUUCAUUGGGCGUAAAGAGCUCGUAGGCGGCUGCUCAAGUCGAAUGUGAAAACUCGAGGCUCAACCUCGAGCCUGCAUUCGAUACUGGGCGGCUAGAGUCUGGUAGGGGGGAUCUGGAAUUCCUGGUGUAGCGGUGGAAUGCGCAGAUAUCAGGAGGAACACCGAUUGCGAAGGCGGGUCUCUGGGCCGAUACUGACGUGAGGAGCGAAAGCGUGGGGGAGCGAACAGG
rnacentral:rRNA from 1 species